AUGGUAAAAAAAAAAUAUGGGUCAAUUUUCACUGAAGUGGGAUGGAUUUAUGUAUUCACCUCUCAUCAGUGUCAAAAGGAAUUGUGCACAUCAUUCCCUGGACAACAGGAUGAAAACUUGUCUCUGGACACUAGGGAUAUCAGCUGUACACACAAGAUAAGUGUAAAGUUGAAAAGAGAAAUACACUUAGUAAUUCAUCCAAGCAAGCAUAUUUUAACAAUUUGAAACUUGCAUAAAAAUGUUCAUGAAAUUAUUUACUUCCUUAUAGAAGAAAACUAAUAUUAGCAUUUUAAAAUCAAGUGCAAGUUAUCGCCACAAAAAAUUGCUUUGCAGAGACUGCUAAUGGAAAACUUUCUAAAUUGUCCAUCCUUUUCUAAUAAAAAUAGAGCAAAAUCAAUAAAAUGACCAUUCUUUACCACUUACUUGGAAUGAAUUUUUAUUUGUCCAAUGUAAGAGACAGUGGCUAUUUUUUUUUUUAAGAUUUAUUUAUUUUUAUUUAUUUCUCUCCCUUUCCCCUCCCCUCCCCCCCACUCCCCACUCCCCCAGUUGUCUGCUCUGUGUCCAUUCGCUGUGUGUUCUU
rnacentral:lncRNA from 1 species